rnacentral:lncRNA from 1 species
AUGUAUGCUGAUCUCAUGGGCGCCGCAGCCAAUGGGGCCGCGCGGCUCUCCCCACCUGCUAGGAAGAGAAUUCCAUCAUUCUUGGAAUUCUUCCCUGGGCCAGCAGCGCACGGCGGCGCGGGCUUCCUCGCGCGGCUGCUGACUCGGCAAAGGCGCGCAUUGUUUGGGGAGCAGCCGCUCGCUCGCUCGCCCGCCCGCUCGCCCAAUCAGCAAGCAGGGAGCUCUCUCCGGCCAGAGCCCGCGCAGCCCAGCUUGGCUGCCGGGAGUCGCAAGCGGCGCUCGGAGCAGCCGCCGCCGCCGGGAGCACGCUGGUCUCCGCCCCCCUCCUGGCCCGGCUCAGCUCGGCUCUGCACUGCAGGGGGGAAGCGACCCAGCAGCGCGGAGCUCGUGCAAACUGAACAAACCCUGCAGGCGACUCUUCCUUUUGCCUGGUCGAGGCAGCGCUCCUUGCUGUAUUUGCGGAGAGGAGAUCCUGCCGCGUGCGGUGAGCUCUUCCUCGCCAAGGCUCUUGCAAGAUGCCUCGCCCAGCUUCUUGCUGUCUCCCAGUAUUUGUUUCGCGUGAGCACGUUUAACCCAACAGACGUUUUAGGACCGGCGACUUGCUGGGUGGAUCACAGAAGUAGGCAAUCCCCAGUCAACUGACUGAGGGGUUGGUCAAAGCGUCCGAGGAAGGGGACAGAAGCAACGAGGGGCAAGAAAAGUCUGAUUUUCUAAAUAUUGCAGUGGCUGUGAUUUUGUCCUCGAGUUGUUUUGUAGGCUGUUACCUGAUGGCACAUCCACCCGGUUGCUCUUACUUUGUGGCCCUGUUUGGACUAUCCAGCUCCAUUCUGGCUUCUGUUGCUUCAUGGGCUCUUUGAGGUGCAGUUUGGCUGCUUCCUUUUCUUAUUUGUUCUAUGUAUAUGGCCUUAUGCCGAGGAGAAUCAGCCAAAUUGCAUUGCAGUAGUAUCCUAGAAGUUUUAUGUCCUCUUUGCAAUGCAUGAAGGAAGAGGCACCUGGUUCUCGUUCCAUGAGAAUAGGACUGUCGGUUCUACCUCCACCCCAGUGAGUGCCAUCUGCAUUGUUGAUGAACACGCCUUCUUCUCUGACAGUUGUGAUGCAAUUUUGAUUUGAAAUUCUGGACGCCUCCAGCUUGUGGCAUUGGCAGCUUCUUAAAGCAAAAGAUCACCUGAGUUCAGAGUCUGUGAGAGACAGAGUCCAACGGUGCAUGUGAAGGAAUGUAAGGAUGGUGAAAAAAGAACAACUCAUGGAGCAGUUUAAAAAGACAAGCAAGGAAAUGUUAUCUAAUUUGUCUUACCUUCUAGAAAUCUUACAGUUUGACGGGAGGAGCAUGAGGUGAUUCUAGUGUCAUAUCAAAAACUUUCUGUGUUUUCUCACACAAAGCAGUACUCCUCCAACAGGGUGAACUGGCACUAUGAUGGUAUGCUAUGUCCUAAGGAAAGAAAACCGAACUAACUGGCCUGGUUUCGAAACUGAAUCAGUGUAGGAUUUAUUUUUUUCCAGGGCACUUUACAAUUGCAGUUUAGUUUACAAUUAUGAGGUAGGAGUGGAAGGGCCGCAAGAUUCUGCCUUCCAGCUCUUUGUACUGACACACAUUCUACUGUAACCAAUAUUUCUGGCAGGUGAGCCCAUUUUAACAACAGAAUGGAAGCAGAGCAAUGGCUCCCACCACAAAUACAAUUCCUUUUUCCUGUGGUUGUAAUGAAGAAUGAGAUUUCUGGUCCAAAAGCACGCUUUUCAUGUUGAAAGAACCAUAAAGCCUUAAAAUCCACUUUGCUGCCCUGAAGGUAGAAUCUUUCAUGGUCAAACAUCAUUCAUUUAUAUCCAAAUUAUAGUCUGAGACAGUUGGAGAGUAGGCGAGACCAAGACACACCAUUCUGGAAGCUCUUGCGAGAUGAGCCUUACUUUUGUGGAGGUUUCUGUAUGCAUUUUGUGGAACAUCUUCCACAAUAUUAAAUUCAUGCUCUUACCUGAAUUUCUUAGACUAUGGCAUUAUUAUGUGUAAAGUAUUUGUUGAAGUUGCCGAAACCUAUCCUGUUUCUAGUUUCUAAAUAAUUGCAUUUCCAAGGAGCCCAAGGCAGCAGAUACGGUUCUCCUGCUUCCAGUCUUAUUCUCACAACAACCCUGAGAGUUAGUAACCGGCCCAAGGCCACCUCUCCUCAUAGCUGAUUUGAAUUUGAGUCUCCUUACUUCUAGGUGGAUACUUUAACUCAGGCUUCCCUAAUCAUGUCCCCUCCAGAUGUUUUGAAUUACAAUUCCCACCAUCUCUGACCAUUUGACAAGGUUGAGAAUUGUAGUCCAGAGCAUCUGAAGGAUGCUAGGCCUGGAAGUCUGCUUCUUAAUCACUGCAGCACACUGGCCUCAUGUAAAAUUAUUUGUAAGCAGUCAUGACAUAUGAUACAUGAGCACUGCUAAUUUUUGUAGCUUUUGAGCACGUGUAGGCUCGUGACAUUUCAUUUGGGAUAAAAGAGUAGAAUGAUGUGGGGUUAUUCUUUUAAAAACAGAAGGGGUAUUCCCUUAAUGCCUUAUUGGAAAUUCCAAGAGAUACAUGUCAAGUUGAUGUGGCAAAAAGAGAAAUGCUCUUUCAGGCAUUUUAAACUGUGUAGAAUCAAUAUUUGGAGGAGGGAUUGGUUUCACAAAGGGAGUCCUCACCCUUGACCUCAACCCAGUGACUGACUGUGUUGUGCAGAGCCGAUCAAUGCAUCUGUAUGUUGUGUGCAUGGCACAUCUGUGCUUCGAGCCUGCUGAACUGAUCCACAUGUGGAGAUUGACCCUAAAGCCAUGUACAGACCGGUAGAAGCAGCAGUAGUCUAGGUACUCAUGGUCUAUAUUAGAAAGCUGUCGCUGACCACAAAUAAGUCAGCUCAUCGUCCAUCUCUGCAGGUUGCCAGAUUUAUAGGUCUGAAUGUCUGUAGCAGGGCUAACAGGACCAUGAAUGAGAGCCAAUGUGUUGCAUUUGGUUACAUUUGCCUAGGUGAGGUUAAGUUGCUAGAAUAGGGCCAAAUCUGUUUGCUCCAUGGAACUAUACUGCUGUGUAUCAUAUUUGUUGUAUCUGCCAUCUUUGUUGCAAUAGUUUUCUUUAUAAUUUUUGAAACUUUUGAGACAGAGAUUUUUGUGUGCUCCUGGCAGUGCUGGGAAUUGACUUCAAAUUCCUAGCACCAGCCUAGAAAAUUGGGUUACCUGGGACAUCCAGAGCUAUUGUUUGGAUUGUUAAAUGUGCUUCAUUUGUGUGCUGCAUACCAACAGUGAUAUGUUUGCUGCAGUGCUCCUGGAACUGAGUUGGCUUUAUUAAAAGAUCAAACAAAGGGUUCCCAUGAUCUUCUCACCCAUUCCAUUUAAUGAAAACAAUCAUUAGGUGUGCACAGUAGUUCCUACAACCUGAACACUGAAGCGUCCCCUCCCCUUGCCUGUUUUAGGGAGGAGUGUAAAGACACCUGCAAUGCAGUUCGGAAGCUGUGACUCCAAAAUGAAUUUUCCAACAGAGCCAUUUUCGGCAACCAGCAAGGCAUGUGUUGGGUCAGUGGUUCAACUUCCACCCUUGAAGGUAGUUGCCAGGAAGUAAUAGUUCCACAGUUACAUCUCUUUUUUUACAGUCUUGUUUGGGCAUGUUUAGGUCUUAGGGGCCUAUGGUUGCUGGCUCUGUUCUAGAUCAGAACUUUCUAGUGGAAGUUGAAGAAUUGCAUUGCUCCUUGCUUGUAGAUGAGAAUGACUCUAGACUGCACAGGUAUCUCUUCAGUUACUUGGUGAGGAGGAUUAGUCAUUCAAGCCCAACCCAUGAUAAAUGCCAUUGUGAUCACCCAGAAGAAACUGUUACACAUUGCACUAUGAUUUGGUUGCAGAGGAACUAAUUA